rnacentral:rRNA from 1 species
AGCGAACGCUGGCGGCAGGCUUAACACAUGCAAGUCGAACGCAUCACUUCGGUGGUGAGUGGCAGACGGGUGAGUAACACGUGGGAACGUACCCUUCGAUCUGGGAUAACUUCGGGAAACUGGAGCUAAUACCGGAUACGCCCUUUUGGGGAAAGGUUUACUGUCGAAGGAUCGGCCCGCGUCUGAUUAGCUAGUUGGUGGGGUAACGGCCUACCAAGGCGACGAUCAGUAGCUGGUCUGAGAGGAUGAUCAGCCACACUGGGACUGAGACACGGCCCAGACUCCUACGGGAGGCAGCAGUGGGGAAUAGUGGACAAUGGGCGCAAGCCUGAUCCAGCCAUGCCGCGUGAGUGAUGAAGGCCUUAGGGUUGUAAAGCUCUUUUGUCCGGGACGAUAAUGACGGUACCGGAAGAAUAAGCCCCGGCUAACUUCGUG